ACAUUGAUGUGAACAUAACACAUUCCUCCCCCAUGCAGGCACAGGCGAGAUUUUAUUGGACACAUGCUCACCAUUUGCAGGAACACAAACCUGACACGCAUGAAGAGCAUGUUAAAUGACAAUGGGGACAGUGGUGAAGCUGUUUGAGAUUAUGUAAUUUUAUUCUUCAUAAGCGGGCAGAAUUUUUCUCUUUAGUAAGCACUGUCUUCCUUCAGAAAAAUCUACCUUCCUCUCUUCGGCCACUCCUGUCUGGAGCAUUGCUAUCAUACGACAGACUGUUCCAGUUCAUGUCAGCAUCUCUGCAAGAAGCAAGCGUGACAGCUUCAUCUUUAGUCAAGUGGUCACAGGAAACCACCCAUGAGACCAUUCAUAGAUAUGGACUAAGAAAUUCAUGGGAAUGUGAACGAUGGGAGUGUGUAUAA